rnacentral:rRNA from 1 species
GGGUGAGUAAUGUAUAGCUAACCUGCCCUUUAGUGGGGGACAACAGUUGGAAACGACUGCUAAUACCCCAUACUCCUGCUUAUCAUAAGGUAAGUUGGGAAAGAUUUAUUGCUAAAGGAUGGGGCUUUAUGGUAUCAGCUAGUUGGUGGGGUAAUGGCCUACCAAGGCGAUGACGCCUACCUGGUCUGAGAGGAUGAUCAGGCACACUGGAACUGAGACACGGUCCAGACUCCUACGGGAGGCAGCAGUGGGGAAUAUUGCACAAUGGGGGAAACCCUGAUGCAGCAACGCCGCGUGGAGGAUGACGCAUUUCGGUGUGUAAACUCCUUUUAUAAGGGAAGAUAAUGACGGUACCUUAUGAAUAAGCACCGGCUAACUCCGUGCCAGCAGCCGCGGUAAUACGGAGGGUGCAAGCGUUACUCGGAAUCACUGGGCGUAAAGGAUGCGUAGGCUGGAGAUCAAGUCAGGAGUGAAAUCCAACGGCUCAACCGUUGAACUGCCCCUGAAACUGGUCACCUAGAAUAUGGGAGAGGUAGAUGGAAUUGGUGGUGUAGGGGUAAAAU